rnacentral:tRNA from 1 species
GCCUUCGUGGUGUAAUGAUAGCACGCUCGACGCGUAUUCGGGAUGUCCAGGGUUCGAGUCCCGGCAAGGGCA